AUGACAUUACUGCUAUGCAUCAAAAUCAUUCAGAAGGGUUUAAGGUUUCAGAAAAAGGACAAUAUUCUCUUCACAAUGAACUUGGUCAAAGCACAUAAUGCAAUUUAUCUAUGUAGUGGAAUUUGUUAUCGGCUAGAGGGAGUUAUGGGUUUAGAGCUUAAAAUAAUUGCUUAUUGUCUAUUAUUGCUACAGAUUGAAAUGUUUUCUUCUAGAUACUCAAGCAUGGGAGGCAGCAUGGAUUUAUUUAUGAAAGGUGGCAGACACAACCAUGAGGUGUUCACGCACAUUUACCUGCAUUCUUAUCUUGACCAUGGGAGCCAAUUCUGA
rnacentral:rRNA from 1 species